UAUCUACAGCUUCUUCUCUUUGUGAAGCUCAGGCCUCAUCCAUCCAGGCUCUGGGUUCAAGUCUUGUCAACCAAGAGGUAGAAGGUGUUGGGUGUACCAUUUUAUCAGAAAUGAGUUCAGUCUUGCCUGAAUUAUUUGAGGGAAUAUUUUUGCAUGAUUCUAUUUUGUCCCUAUCAAUCAAGUUGUGGGGUCUUAGACAAAGAUGUUGUUCCUCACACAGAUUCUAGAUAUUGAAUAUCACUAAAUGAAACAUGUAUGACCUUCCUUGUCUUGGUGAAGAAAGCCAUCAUAUGUGAGACAUAAAGGUCUACAUUAAGAAUAUUGAAAUUUUUUUACAGCUGACAUGAGGUGAACUUCAAACCGGGCAUCCUCCAUUAACCACAAAACCUGUGUAAACAUGGCUGAAAAUUAUGGUUUUAAAAGGUUCAAGUACUAUGGGCCAUUUUUGACAGAACAUAACUUAAAUUAGGCAAAGGUGGAAAUACAUUGAACUUCAAUUGCAGUCAUUGACCUUGUUCUUUGUUUAACUUUUGCAUAUAUUUGGCUCAUGAUUUGAAGUUCUAGAUUAUUUAGCAAACUAAUUCUCAUGUUUGCUCAAAACACCAGGUGAUUUACUGGUUGAAUACUGAAGUUUGGUGAUUGGAAGUUCAUUUGUAGCUCACAGAAGAUAGGGUGUAACUGUGUAUGUCUCCUAAAGAACUGAUUGAGGCAUGAGCCCCAUCUGGAGGUGACUUAUUCAUUAGGGAUCUCCUUGACUGGGUCCCUCAUGGAAUAAUAAUUGAUGAGGCACCUUUGUUUAAAUGACUUUUGAUUCACCGGACCUUCUCCUACUGACCUAAAAAUACCAUGGGUCGUCUGGCAUCAUCCCGGAAUCUCCUUUACCCCUUAUGGAAUAUAUUAAAGCAAGAAAGGAGCUUCAAGUACAGCAGCUGGUUAAAGAGAAAGGUACUUCAAUAACUCUUCUUUUCUUGUUUUUCAAACAUUUGGGCCACAUAUAUUGUAAAACUUGUCAAUAAUUAUAUUCCUUUCCUUGAAUUUGAGCUAUGUGCUUGCCAAUAAGGAAUACCAGUCUGGGACAGGAGAAGCAGAUGCUUGCUCAGGAAGAACCCCUCCUUGCUGUGACAGUGGACCCACAACUUAUUGGAUCCACCACAUAGAUCUUUCAGCAGACCAGCUGCAUGUAUGGCGCUGAGAUGGCAACGCUUUGAGAUCAAUCAUUGGAUUUUGAUUCCGGUUAUCAACUUCUUGGCCGCAACCCAAGAAAUCCGAAGUUCAAUCUGAUCUAAUUUACUUUUACGAUUUGUUGUUGGCCAUUGAGGCCUUCCUUUUUCUUUUUUUCUCCUUUAUUUUUCUGGUGAAAUUUCUUUUCCUCAGUUCUGCUUCGAUAUGGAUUACAGACUAAAAGCUAACAUGUACUGCCUUUGGAAUAUAUCUCUUAGGGGACUUUUAUGCAGUGUGAGCCUUGUUGAUUACUUUCAUAUUAGAAGAAAGUGUGCAGCAAUAAAUUAUUGGGAGCUUUUUGUCAUUUCAUGA